rnacentral:rRNA from 1 species
UGCAGAAUCCCGUGAACCAUCGAGUCUUUGAACGCAAGUUGCGCCCGAAGCCAUUAGGCUAAGGGCACGCCUGCCUGGGUGUCACCAAUCGUUGCCCCAACCCCUGUGCCCGUGGGCACGGGCUGGGGCGAAUGUUGGCUUCCCGCGAGCACCGCCUCGCGGUUGGUUGAAAAUCGGGCUCGUGGUGGAUUCAGCGCCAUGACAGAUGGUGGUUGAGUAUGUUCUCGAGGCCAGUCAUGCCCGCGACCUCCACCAGUUCCGCGCCCAGUGACCCGCGAGCGACGUCGAUCGCCCAUGACGCGACCUCAGGUCAGGCGGGGCUAC